UGUUUUGGCAGGCCGGGCGGGCCAGCUUCGGCUGGGCCGCUUUCCGUGAAGAGCGGUAGGUUCCAACCCGUUUCGGCCUGCCCCCCAG
rnacentral:antisense_RNA from 1 species